rnacentral:lncRNA from 1 species
UAACUUUUAGGACCCUGAUUCAGGGGAAGGACAAGAUUGAAACAAUAAAUUCACCACUUAGAUUUUCUAAUAGUGAAAGUGGAAAGGAUAGUCAUAAGCAUAAUACUGUUUUCUGAAAACAGAAACUUCAGUGAUUCAUCUGCAGAAUCAGUCAUUUUUUGAGUGGGUCUCCUUGCAUUAAGGACUGAGGAACGCAGACUGUGCCUUAAGUUAUGUGUGGGGAGGUGAAUGGGACCUUCAGGAACUUCCAAGUCAGCCUGUCAGUACACGUUGUGUAUCUCAGCCACUUCCUCCUUCCAGCCAUGAGUAAUCACCGAGCAGCCAGAGGGAGUGAUUCAGGUACGUUUUGUGGAACCUAGAAGUGUUAGAGCCUUAACAGUAAAUACCAGCACUUAAUAGCCUGUUCUUCC